GAUGAACGCUGGCGGCGUGCCUAAUACAUGCAAGUCGAGCGAACGGACGAGAAGCUUGCUUCUCUGAUGUUAGCGGCGGACGGGUGAGUAACACGUGGAUAACCUACCUAUAAGACUGGGAUAACUUCGGGAAACCGGAGCUAAUACCGGAUGAUAUUUUGAACCGCAUGGUUCCAAAGUGAAAGACGGUCUUGCUGUCACUUAUAGAUGGAUCCGCGCUGCAUUAGCUAGUUGGUAAGGAAAUGGCUUACCAAGGCAACGAUGCAUAGCCGACCUGAGAGCGUCGACGGCCAGACGGGAAGUGAGACACGUCCCAGACACCUACGGUAGGCAGCAGUAGAGAAUCCUACGCAAUGGGCGAAAGCCUGACGGAGCAACGCCGCGUCAGGGAUGAACGUGUUCUGAUCGGAAAACUCUGUUAGUAUUGAAGUACAUAUGUGUAAGUAACUGUGCACAUCUUGACGGUACCUAAACAGAAAGCCACGGCUAACUACGUG
rnacentral:rRNA from 1 species